GGCCGCUACCAUGCAGUCAACGAAGUACAUCUAUGGCAGACGGGUGAGUAACAUGUAGGUAUCUACCCUUUGGCCUGGAAUAACACGAAGCCCGAAAACUUUGCUCGCCCUAAACGAACCCCUGGAAUAAACGUCUUUACGCCUGAGAAGAGCUUUAUGCACCAUUGGAUGAAGCCAUGCACUUGAUUAGUUUGUUGGGUGGGGUAAUGGCCUACCAAGACUGUGAUCAAUAGCUGAUUUGAGAGGAUGAUCAGCCACGAUUGGGACUGAGACACGGGGCCCCUAAAAACUCCUACGGGAGGCAGCAGUGGGGAAUCUUGCACACAUGGAGGGAAAAACUCUGUAUG
rnacentral:rRNA from 1 species